rnacentral:rRNA from 1 species
UACAGAGGUCUCAAGCGUUUGUUCGGAUUCAUUGGGCGUAAAGGGUGCGUAGGUGGCGCGGUAAGUCGGGUGUGAAAUCUCGGAGCUUAACUCCGAAAUUGCAUUCGAUACUGCCGUGCUUGAGGACUGGAGAGGAGACUGGAAUUCAUGGUGUAGCAGUGAAAUGCGUAGAGAUCAUGAGGAAGACCAGUGGCGAAGGCGGGUCUCUGGACAGUUCCUGACACUGAGGCACGAAGGCCAGGGGAGCAAAACGGG